AAAUUUGAAAAAAUGGCGGCUUCCAUGGCUGGACAUCAAAUUCUGUCACAAUUUCAAAAUGUGAACUCUGUAAGACCUUUAAACCAGAGAUGCAUGGAAUUGGAAAAACUGAUAAAGAACACAAGUACUAAGGAGCUGAAAAAUGUCUUGCCCUGCAUGUUAGAGAGCAUAUUUGGCUAUGGUCAAGGACCAGGAUGGGGAUUGGACUCGAUAAGCAGGGCGUCCACCCCACAGGACUUUGACAGUGUUAGAAGAUUGCUGGCUCCAGAAGGGCCUGUGCUGUCUCUAGUAUACUCAUUGAUGGCGGACUCAUUGUAUGAAUUCCCUAUCAACAGCAUUCCAUCUCCUACACAGCAUUUGAUUGAAGAUGGAGGAUUGCCUAUAUUCUAUGCCAACAAACUUCAGUAUCAUACUUUUGGUCGACCAAUCAUUGUUCUAAAUGCCUAUGAGCUGUAUAUGUUUCACCUAGCCUACCACUUAGUCAACACCAGGGCUCAGAGUAGCAACUAUAACUGGAGCAACAUCACUGACACCCUUUACCCUGUUCUUGUUGAUGAUUACUUGAACUACUUCUUACCACUGAACAAGGACAGUCUACCUAAGAUGCCCACAGUCCAAGCACCUGUUCGGAGUCCAGUGGUGCACUCUCCAGUAGCUGGAAAGUCCUUCAACAUGCCUACAUCCCCACCCUCCCCUCAGCGACCCAGCCUCCUCAAGUCCAGCUUUGUCUCUGCCCAGAAGCAGCACGCCCAGACUGCAGUCAUCAGCCAAGGGGACACAACUGAGAUUUAUCGCUCAGAUACACUGAUACAAGUGUUUGCUGAGUUUUGGCUGAACCAGAAUCCCAUCAGCCUGGACAGACCGUCCUUCUCCCACACUGCCUCUGUGAGUUCUCUUUUUAAUUAUUUUGUUUCAAUGUUUAUACAGUAAAACACCGUCAAACGAACACACCGGUAUAAUGAAUUGAUGCUUACAGCAAAGUGAUUUUCAUUCCCUGUGACUUUAUUACAUGUUGUAAAAUUGACGGAUAUAACGAAUUACACUUAUAACAAAGAAAAGCCGUCCGUCCUUGGCACUUUGUCUUAAGCAUGUUUUACUGUGUAAUAGAGAAUUGGGUAGGAUUUCUUCACAAGAUAUGCAUUUAGGGUGAAAAAAUUACAUGUACUUUAAAAAAAAUCAGGAAUUAUAAACAAUACUGUGCUGUAUUUUUAUCUGAUAAGCCCCUGUAUAUCGGGAGUCCACAUGGAGGACUAUACUGGUUUGAGAAUUUUAUGCCAAGUACAAAUCAUGUUCGGCUAGUAAGGCUCUUGGUGAAACACAUUCACAACUUUGUCAACACUGCAAAACCAGAGGUGAUCUCUUCUCCCUACCAAAGCCACAUCACUUCAACCCUGGAUGAGUUUAAAAAGUCUCUGAUCCCACAUGUGAUACAGAAGAAGCUGUACACCUUUCUCCGCCAUGGAUUUGAUAGAUGGCCACUGGACUGCUCCUUCAGACUGCUGCUGGAAACCUGGCUGACCUACAUACAACCGUGGCGGUACAUUUACAGCAAGUCUCAGUCAGGACGAAGAGACAGUGAUGGAGGGGACACAAAAACGGUGGAGGAGAAAUGGUUUCCGUUCGUGGAGGAUAACCUUCUGUUUUACACAGUGUUGUACCAGGAGUUUACACAGAGAGUGUUCCGGAUGGACCUCACUACCCAGUUUAAUGCAUGCAUGCUCUACAGGGCAAACAAGGUGUAUAGUCUUCCAAACCUGUCAAACAUGGUAUUCAGAGCUGAGAGGGAUAUGUGCAAUGCAAUCCAGAUGGGACGGUCAGGUGGUCAUGACUUGGGAGGUAGCUACAUCUCCCCCGAGGCCAGUCUGUCCCUCCACACACAGAUAUCGGAGCUGGAAAAACCAGGCUUCCAGUACUGUAGGAUGUACAGCGAGGACAUGAUUCAGAUGAUGAAAGCAAUUAUACGACAUAUUGAGAUAGCUAAACAGACCCUUUCAGCCCAAGAAGAGUCUCUGAAAAGAUCCAGGAAAUCAGGAGUGACGGCCAUAUUUGAUCUGUCCUCUUGGUUUCAGGAUGAACGUAACAUGGGGGACUUGUCACCGUCUGAAGUUAAAAAACUUCACUCCUACUUGGAUACAGCAGCUGCCAACAUAUGCUACAUAUUUGAGAUUGAGUCUCCAUCAUUUGUGUCGAGAAACGUGUCCUCUGUGACUGCAUUAGAGCAGACGUCGUUUGUAGAGAACUCUUUUGUGUCGGAUACGAUCCCCGACUGUUUGGAGACUGAUGGAGGCUUCACAUUGACUCCUCUUGGCAGACACCAGUUGAUGAAUAAGAUGAGAAAGUUUGAUGUCCUGUAUCAAGGUGACCCAGAUUUACAACCAAUUAGAAGUUUUGAAAAUGGCACACUAGUCCGACUUUUACAUCAUUUCUGUAACUUUGUCAAUACACAGUAUGGUCCAGCUAUUCAGAACCUCUGUGAUAGGAAUGAUCUGAUUGGACGAAUGGCUCAGGUGUAUUUUGCUCCUCCUCUUCCAAAGAGCAGCAAGCUGAGUUCUCCAAUGUCUUCUGCACAGAGACAAACACUACAGAGACCAAGACUAAGCCUACGCAUCCUGGCCAGUUACCGGACUCUUGUGUACCUGGGACUUUUCUACCUGGUUCUGAUCCUGUGGUGGGGGGUGGGGCCGGUGGGAUUUGUUUUUUGUGUGAUUUUACUAGUUUUGUUGUACGGAUUUCUGUCAGCCAUGACUCACAGAUCCAGUGUCAAAAUGAGUUAAGAUGGAAGAUGACUGUUCCAAGGCAUUUAAAUAAAUGAGUUUAAUAAAGAAUGAAAUGAUUAUGAAAUGUUUUGCAGUUAAACUGCAAUUAUAGUUUAUUUAUUUAUGAUAUCAUCAACACAAAUGUAACUGUCUAUAUUUGAUAAAAAUUGAUGGUCAAGAAC
rnacentral:misc_RNA from 1 species